UGUUGUAAGAUGGUUGUGAGCAAUUGCUAGGUGUCUAAAGAACAAUUUUCUCAAAUUGUACUUCGAGCUUAUAUUGAAUUGGGCUUAAUAUUAAUACACCCACAUGACAAGAUGGCUUAAAGCCCAAAAUAGUUCAAACAAAAAAACACUCGUCGCACACAGGUCAGCUUCUCCGGCAGUGGCUUAUAGGGUUUACCUUACCCCCGUCGUGAAGAACCUCACUCUGUCUUUCAUCUUCAAAAUCUCAACUAAUACAUGGCUGAAGUUAACGCUAACCCCGAACCCCCUCAAAACAUGACCAUCUACAUCAACAACCUCAACGAAAAAAUCAAAAUCGACGAGUUGAAGAAAUCUUUGCACGCUGUUUUCAGCCAAUUUGGGAAGAUACUUGAGGUUUUGGCUUUCAAGACUCUGAAACAUAAGGG